GGCUGCGUAGUUCAAUGGAUAGAAUGUCAGAUUCCGGUUCUGAUGAUGGAGGUUCGAGUCCUCUCGCGGUCACUA
rnacentral:tRNA from 1 species